AAAAAUUUAGUUAAGUUAUAACAUUAGUUUGUCAUACUAAAAUCAUUAAAUUUUAAUAAUUUUUA
rnacentral:tRNA from 2 species